AGGCGGUCAAUUAAGUCAGAGGUGAAAUCCCAUAGCUUAACUAUGGAACUGCCUUUGAUACUGGUUGACUUGAGUUAUACGGAAGUAGAUAGAAUAAGUAGUGUAGCGGUGAAAUGCAUAGAUAUUACUUAGAAUACCGAUUGCGAAGGCAGUCUACUACGUGUAUACUGACGCUCAUGGACGAAAGCGUGGGGAGCGAACAGGAUUAGAUACCCUGGUAGUCCACGCCGUAAACGAUGUCAACUAGCCGUCUGUGACCUUGAGUCGUGGGUGGCGCAGCUAACGCACUAAGUUGACCGCCUGGGGAGUACGGCCGCAAGGUUAAAACUCAAAUGAAUUGACGGGGGCCCGCACAAGCGGUGGAGCAUGUGGUUUAAUUCGAUGCAACGCGAAGAACCUUACCAUCCCUUGACAUCCAGAGAAGAGACUAGAGAUAGACUUGUGCCUUCGGGAACUCUGUGACAGGUGCUGCAUGGCU
rnacentral:rRNA from 1 species